UGGCUCCUAAUUUAGCUCAGGUUUUAGGAGAGAUCCUGAUUGAGUGGGCUUGCAGCUUCUGCCGAGAAGGCUCCCAGGCGAUCCCUCCAUCUCGUUCCUCGGUGCUGGGGUGAAACCCAGGGCCUUUGUGCUUGCCAGGCAAGCCUCCAUCCCUGAGCUACACAGCCCUCAUUCCCCAGGUGAUGUCUCAGGCAAGCUCACUGCAGCCUUCUCACCUUCUGGCGGUCUACUUGCUGAUUGAUGGUCUCUAUCUGGCUCGGUUUAGCACUAGCUCAUUCCCUGGCCUUCUGGCCCGCCCGCUGGUGUCCAGCUCGGAUGCUCAUGGAGACAACAGGGUCUUCUCUCUGCUUCCUGCCCUAGCUUAACUUCUCCACCGGCUAUGCCUUCACUGUGUCCUGCGACUGCUUUGUGAGCCUCACACUUGAUGGAGAGGUUUCUGAGCAGGUUUUAUUCGUCUUUGCGUUGCCAGGGACGAACUGUGCCUGGUGGCCCGGAAGGUCGCUGUAUCUCUGUGGUGUGCAGUGUGGGGUUGGACCGGCUGGGACAUAACAGGAAACGUAGGGACAUUUCAAAGAUUAUGGACCCCAGAGAGAUGUUUGCCUGCUUGUGAAAUUCUUCUGUCACGUGAAGCACUCAAGAAGCUGUUGGUGCAUAGAAGCCUUGGCCUGGGACCAACCCCCUGAAUCGCUUUCCCAGGUUGACGGUCCCCUCAGCCAUGCUCUCGUCUCGCUUGUGAGACUGUACCAGCUGCCUCUACCGAUUCUGCACACCUUAUCUACAGUAUUUGCUCCUGACACCGAAACGGAUGUCUUCCUGCUGCUACAGAUGUUCAAAAGAAGCCAGGCUUCAAUGUGCGUACAUUCUGAACCCAACCAGCUUUUCUGUGUUCCUGCCUCACCAGUCACCCGACCCAUCCUCGCUCUCUCUACCAUACAGUUCCUCUGUGGUCUCUGGUCUCUGCCUCGGGAAUGGGGUCCCUCUCUUCACCUGGCUAACUCCUGCUGGCCUUUCAGCUCCUGCUGCUGCUUCACCAACUUCCUUCUUGGCACUGACACACCCCUGCCAUUUUUAUUGCUAGAGCCAUUCUUGGCCUCCUGUCUCCCCUUUCAUCUGACUGGAAGUUUUACGGGGUGGCGUGAGCUCCUGUUUGUGUCUUCUUUUCUUCUGCACCCCGGCCCUGAGCCUGGGCUCUGUGAUGAGUUCUCAGGAAGAUGCGGUUUGUUGAAUGAAAGGUGAGGGUUCCAUGGGAAUACUGCAUUGCAGAGCCCUCAGGGCUGAGAGCAGCAACUCAGGAAGCACAGGUUCAUAUCUGCUGUUGACGCUAUUUUAGUUGGAGAAGUGGUGUAAAAUGAAAACAAAUUAAAAGCCAAAAGGGCUCUUGUCACUUGAGUUGCCCAACGUGUUUAAGUUUGAGGGCAAGUUGAUCCAGCUGGGAAGAACAAUGUGUGAACAUACAGUGUGCAAAGGGGGUGAUUGUGGUCACCCGGAUUUUCUGCUAUUGACUUUCGUAACUAGAAAGUGGUGACAGAUGCUGGGAGUGGGCAGUACACACCUGUAAUCCCAGCACUUGGGAGACAAAGGUGGGCAGAUCGCUGUGAGUUUGAGGCCAGCCUCUUCUACAAAGUGAAUUUCAGGACAGCCAGAGCUGUUACACAGAAAAUGCUGUCUCAAAACAAACAAACAAACAAACAAACAAACACAAAGUGGUGACAGAGAGGGGUCCAAGUAUCCCAGAAGGGCUUGAGGCAUCUAUCCAUACACACCCAGAUCCGAGGGUCUUCACAGCCCCACACAUCAAGGCCAACUUCUCCUGUCUGCUGGAGGGGUCUGCAGAUACAAGUAGAGAAGUCUCAGAGUCACCAGAGAAUUUGGGGGUGCACACUAAGAUGCUCCAGAGUGAGUGUGGGGGCACACAUCUGUCAUCCCAGCACUUGUGUGGUGGAGGCAGAGGGAUUAGAUGUUCAAAGUCAACUUUGACUACAUAGCAAGUUUGAGGUGAGCUUGGACUAUGUGGAACUCUGGCUCCUUCCUCUAUUCCUCACCAUAAAACAAAACAUAGCACAAACAAAAGGAGUCCUUCCUCCCAAACAAAACCCCAGGCCACAAUAGAAGAAAAGGCUUUUCCGUGUGGUCCACGAUCAUCCCUAAUCCAAACAUCACAAAUCUGAAGUUUUUGAACACAGAUACAAGGCCAUAACUAGAAAACUCCAAACCGUGAAACUCUGUUUAUAGGCACCAAAUUAUUAAAAAGCACUGUGUCAUCAGGUGUGGUAGCACAGUCCUUUAAUCCCAGCACUUGGGAGAAAAGGCAUGCAGAUCUCUGCUAGUCUGAGCUUGAUCUUCAUAGUGAGUUCCUCCAGGACAGCCUGGGCUACAAAGAGAGACCCUGUCCCAAAACAAAACAAGGGACUGAACACUGUACAAUGACCUCCAUUCUCUGUGUAUAAUAUAUGUGAACAUGAACUUCAUGCUUGGAUCUCUUAGUAUAUAUGUGAUCUCUUUCUAAGAUCUGAAAAAACCAAAACCAAAACAACAACAACAAAAAAUGAAAGAAAGAAAAAAGGAAAAGAACAUCAAGGCCCUCGCUCUCCUGGUUCCAAGCUUUUAGGAUAAGGGCUCCUGGACCAGCGUGGGCUCCGAGCAUCCAUCGCAGCUGCUCCGGUUCCUCCAGCCUCUACCGCAGUGUAAAGCAUUUCCACAGAAGACCAGUGUCCACAGGAGUUUUAGAGACUUUAUUUAUGUAUAAACAAUUUAAACACUUUGCCAUAAAUUAUCUUUGCCUGUCCCUAGUCUUUGCUUAGCAGCAAAUUAAAAUUAAUAUAAAAACUC